CUACGUGCCAGCAGCCGCGGUAAUACGUAGGUCCCGAGCGUUGUCCGGAUUUAUUGGGCGUAAAGCGAGCGCAGGCGGUUAGAUAAGUCUGAAGUUAAAGGCUGUGGCUUAACCAUAGUACGCUUUGGAAACUGUUUAACUUGAGUGCAAGAGGGGAGAGUGGAAUUCCAUGUGUAGCGGUGAAAUGCGUAGAUAUAUGGAGGAACACCGGUGGCGAAAGCGGCUCUCUGGCUUGUAACUGACGCUGAGGCUCGAAAGCCAGGGGAGCGAACGGGAUUAGAUACCCCGGUAGUCCUGGCCGUAAACGAUGGGUACUAGGUGUAGGAGGUAUUGACCCCUUCUGUGCCGGAGUUAACGCAAUAAGUACCCCGCCUGGGGAGUACGACCGCAAGGUUGAAACUCAAAGGAAUUGACGGGGGCCCGCACAAGCGGUGGAGUAUGUGGUUUAAUUCGAUGCAACGCGAAGAACCUUACCUACUCUUGACAUCCAGAGAACAUUC
rnacentral:rRNA from 1 species